rnacentral:rRNA from 1 species
AAUGGACGAAAGUCUGACGGAGCAACGCCGCGUGAGUGAUGAAGGUCUUCGGAUUGUAAAACUCUGUCAUUAGGGAAGAACAAGUAUUAGUUAAAUAAGCUAGUACCUUGACGGUACCUAAGGAGGAAGCCCCGGCUAACUACGUGCCAGCAGCCGCGGUAAUACGUAGGGGGCAAGCGUUGUCCGGAAUUAUUGGGCGUAAAGCGCGCGCAGGCGGUCCUUUAAGUCUGAUGUGAAAGCCCACGGCUCAACCGUGGAGGGUCAUUGGAAACUGGAGGACUUGAGUGCAGGAGAGGAAAGUGGAAUUCCACGUGUAGCGGUGAAAUGCGUAGAUAUGUGGAGGAACACCAGUGGCGAAGGCGACUUUCUGGCCUGUAACUGACGCUGAGGCGCGAAAGCGUGGGGAGCAAA